GGAGGGGUGGCCGAGUGGACGAAGGCACCGGUCUCGAAAACCGGAAGGGUUUUUAAGGCCCUCGUGGGUUCGAAUCCCACCCCCUCCG
rnacentral:tRNA from 3 species